AUUGAACGCUGGCGGCAGGCCUAACACAUGCAAGUCGAGCGGAUGAAGGGAGCUUGCUCCUGGAUUCAGCGGCGGACGGGUGAGUAAUGCCUAGGAAUCUGCCUGGUAGUGGGGGAUAACGUCCGGAAACGGGCGCUAAUACCGCAUACGUCCUGAGGGAGAAAGUGGGGGAUCUUCGGACCUCACGCUAUCAGAUGAGCCUAGGUCGGAUUAGCUAGUUGGUGGGGUAAAGGCCUACCAAGGCGACGAUCCGUAACUGGUCUGAGAGGAUGAUCAGUCGCACUGGAACUGAGACACGGUCCAGACUCCUACGGGAGGCAGCAGUGGGGAAUAUUGGACAAUGGGCGAAAGCCUGAUCCAGCCAUGCCGCGUGUGUGAAGAAGGCCUUCGGAUUGUAAAGCACUUUAAGUUGGGAGGAAGGGCAGUAAGUUAAUACCUUGCUGUUUUGACGUUACCAACAGAAUAAGCACCGGCUAACUUCGUG
rnacentral:rRNA from 1 species